GCUGAAAUGGCGGAAUGGCAGACGCCGGAGACUUAAAAUCUCCCGUCCUAUGGACGUGCGGGUUCGAGUCCCGCUUUCAGCACCA
rnacentral:tRNA from 1 species